AUCAACAAGGGGUGCUGUCACUCUUUUAGACGACGCAUACUCACGUUCUGCCUCAUGACUUGGAUUUUCCAAGCUCAAGCCACCCAGACGUUCUGGAAGUGCUAGAAUGUCCCGAUAGAGUGCAUUGCAUUGGUGAUCUGUGAUAGCAGGGAUGAGAAUCUGCGAUAUUGCCUUCUCGAGUGGCUCUAGUAAGUCCUGGAUGUCUGGCAGGGUUCUUGAGAAGUAGGUCCAACGAUG